GCUCCCAUGGCGUAGUGGUCACUGCACUCGCCUUGCACGCGGGAGACCCGGGUUCGAUUCCCGGCGGGGACA
rnacentral:tRNA from 1 species